rnacentral:rRNA from 1 species
UACAUGUGGGGCAAGCGUUGUUCGGAAUUACUGGGCAUAAAGGGUGCGUAGGUGGUUUGAUAAGUCAGUGGUGAAAUCCCGUGGCCCAACCAUGGAACUGCCAUUGAUACUGUCGGACUCGAGUGCGUGAGGGGUGACUGGAACGCGUGGUGUAGCGGUGAAAUGCGUAGAUAUCACGCGGAAGGCCAACGGCGAAGGCAAGUCACUGGUGCGCAACUGACACUGAGGCACGAAAGCGUGGGGAGCAAACAGG